rnacentral:rRNA from 1 species
UGGGGAAUAUUGCACAAUGGGCGCAAGCCUGAUGCAGCAACGCCGCGUGAACGAUGAAGGUCUUCGGAUUGUAAAGCUCUGUUGCAGGGGAAGAUAAUGACGGUACCCUGUGAGGAAGCCCCGGCUAACUACGUGCCAGCAGCCGCGGUAAUACGUAGGGGGCUAGCGUUAUCCGGAUUUACUGGGCGUAAAGGGUGCGUAGGUGGUCUUUCAAGUCGGUGGUUAAAGGCUACGGCUCAACCGUAGUUAGCCUCCGAAACUGGAAGACUUGAGUGCAGGAGAGGAAAGUGGAAUUCCCAGUGUAGCGGUGAAAUGCGUAGAUAUUGGGAGGAACACCGGUAGCGAAGGCGGCUUUCUGGGCUGCAACUGACACUGAGGCACGAAAGCGUGGGUAGCAAACAGG